UUGUUGUUUUGUGUUACGGGCGUAUGGUGGAUGCCUUGGCAUGCUGGGCCGAUGAAGGACGUGUGAGGCUGCGUUAAGCCUCGGGGAGUUGCCAACAGUGCGUUGAUCCGAGGAUGUCCGAAUGGGGAAACCCAACACCAGUUGUGUGGUGUUACCUGCAGGUGAAUGCAUAGCCUGUGUGGAGGUGACGUGGGGAAGUGAAACAUCUCAGUACCCACAGGAGAAGAAAACAAUUUGUGAUUCCGUGUGUAGUGGCGAGCGAUAGCGGAUGAGGCUAAACCGUGUGCGUGUGAUACCUGGGUAGGGGUUGCGUGUGCGGUGUUGUGGGGUGUGAUCGUUGCGGGCUACCUGACCGUGAGAUGGUGUGUGUGCGUUAGCGGAAACGUCUGGGAUGGCGUGCCGGAGCGGGUGAUUAGCCCCGUACGUGAAGGCGUUGCAUAUGUUGUCUGAUCAUGUUUUCCCCGAGUAGCAGCGGGCUCGUGAAAUCUGCUGUGAAUCUGCCGGGACCACCCGGUAAGCCUAAAUACCCAGUGUGACCGAUAGUGAAUAGUACCGUGAGGGAAUGGUGAAAAGUACCCCGGGAGGGGAGUGAAAGAGUUCCUGAAACCAUGCGCUUACAAUCCGUCAGAGCACCGUUUGUGUGUGAUGGCGUGCCUUUUGAAGAAUGAGCCUGCGAGUCAGCGGCAUGUCGCGAGGUUAACCCGUUAUGUGGGGUAGUCGUAGCGAAAGCGAAUCCUAAGAGGGUGUCAAGUGGCAUGUCCUGGACCCGAAGCGGGGUGAUCUACCCAUGGCCAGUGUGAAGCAGCUGUAAGAGGUUGUGGAGGCGCGAACCCACUUAGGUUGAAAACUGAGGGGAUGAGCUGUGGGUAGGGGUGAAAGGCCAAUCAAACUCCGUGAUAGCUGGUUCUCCCCGAAAUGCAUUUAGGUGCAGCGUGAUGUGUGCUUACCGGAGGUAGAGCUACUGGAUGGCCGAGCGGGACUAUCAUCUUAGUGGACGUCAGCCAAACUCCGAAUGCCGGUGAAGUUUUAGCAUUGCAGUGAGACUGUGGGGGAUAAGCUUCAUAGUCGAGAGGGAAACAGCCCAGAUCGCCGGUUAAGGCCCCUAAGGGUGUGCUAAGUGGAAAAGGAUGUGGGAUCGCGAAGACAGCCAGGAGGUUGGCUUAGAAGCAGCCAUCCUUGAAAGAGUGCGUAAUAGCUCACUGGUCGAGUGGUUCUGCGCCGACAAUGUAGUGGGGCUCAAGCACACCGCCGAAGCCGCGGCAUAGUUUUUACUAUGGGUAGGGGAGCGUCGUGUGUGGGGUGAAGCCGUAUCGGAAGAAGCGGUGGACUGCACGCGAGUGAGAAUGCAGGCAUGAGUAACGAAUGAUACGUGAGAAUCGUAUCCGCCGAAUGACUAAGGGUUCCUGGGUCAAGUUCGUCUUCCCAGGGUGAGUCGGGUCCUAAGGCGAGGCCGACAGGCGUAGUCGAUGGUCAACGGGUUGAUAUUCCCGUACCCGUAUAUACGCGCCCAGUAUCGAAGCGGUGAUACUAACCACCCA
rnacentral:rRNA from 1 species